UUCAGAGAAUGCUUAGAUGAUUGUGGCCUUGUUGAUUUAGGGUAUGUGGGAGAUAAAUUCGCAUGGAGAAGGGGAGAUAUAAGACAAUGACUUGAUCGGGCUGUAUGCAAUGAUGCAUGGAUGAACAAGUUCCCCCUCAUAGCGGUUGUUAAUGAGCAGCAUGUACAUUCUGACCAUAGACUGCUUGUGAUUGAUACUGAUUACUACGACGGGGAAUAA
rnacentral:rRNA from 1 species